UAAGGAAUAUUGCUCAAUGGGAGAAAUCCUGAAGCAGCAACGCCGCGUGAGUGAUGAAGGCCUUCGGGUUGUAAAGCUCUGUCUUCUGGGACGAUAAUGACGGUACCAGAGGAGGAAGCCACGGCUAACUACGUGCCAGCAGCCGCGGUAAUACGUAGGUGGCAAGCGUUGUCCGGAUUUACUGGGCGUAAAGGAUGCGUAGGCGGAUACUUAAGUCAGAUGUGAAAAUCCCGGGCUUAACUUGGGAACUGCAUUUGAAACUGGGUAUCUAGAGUGCGGGAGAGGAAAGUGGAAUUCCUAGUGUAGCGGUGAAAUGCGUAGAGAUUAGGAAGAACACCAGUGGCGAAGGCGACUUUCUGGACCGUAACUGACGCUGAGGCAUGAAAGCGUGGGGAGCAAACA
rnacentral:rRNA from 1 species